AGCGAACGCUGGCGGCGGGCUUAACACAUGCAAGUCGAGCGGGCAUCCUUGUGGUGUCAGCGGCAGACGGGUGAGUAACGCGUGGGAACGUGCCCUUCGGUUCGGAAUAACUCAGGGAAACUUGAGCUAAUACCGGAUACGUGCGAGAGCAGAAAGGUUUAUCUGCCGAAGGAUCGGCCCGCGUCUGAUUAGCUAGUUGGUGAGGUUACGGCUCACCAAGGCGACGAUCAGUAGCUGGUCUGAGAGGAUGAUCAGCCACACUGGGACUGAGACACGGCCCAGACUCCUACGGGAGGCAGCAGUGGGGAAUAUUGGACAAUGGGGGCAACCCUGAUCCAGCCAUGCCGCGUGAGUGAUGACGGCCUUAGGGUUGUAAAGCUCUUUUCUCCGGGACGAUAAUGACGGUACCGGAGGAAUAAGCCCCGGCUAACUUCGUG
rnacentral:rRNA from 1 species